CUCCAGAUGUUGCUGAACUACAACUCCCAUGAUUCUCAGUAUAUCUAUUUAAUUUAUAGAAUCAUGGGAGUUGUAGUUCAGCAACAUCUGGAG